AAAAGUUAUGCUCAGCUCUUAUGCUAAAGAAAAAGAGAAUGGAAAAAAAAAAAAAAAAAAUCUGAGUCUCUUUGGAAAGAAACAAAAAAAGCCGUUUGAUUUUCAAUAUCGUGGGUGAAAAAGUCGUAAGUCCAAACAAGGAAGAGUAAAACUACUGUCAUGGGCCUGCGAGUGUAGCCCAAAUCUGAUCACAACCGGCUAUCGCUCGCUGUUGCCUCUCCAGAAAGUGAAUCCCCAAAUGUAUUCGGCGGAAUCAAAAGCCCUAACCCUAAUUCCCUAGUCGACGUCGUCGCUCGCAUGACAUCUCUGUCGAGUUAGUAAAGAAAAGGUAAAGACUGGCUUUGGCAAUACAUAUCUAAUUGGGUGAAAAAUUAACUUUUGAAAGAAACCAACGAUUUGGUUUUCAAUAUUCUGGGUCAAAAUCAAAAAUCGAAAGCUUUGGGCUUUUUUCUUCUCAUUAUUUUCUCUUUUCUCUCCAGAACUCGAAGCAGAGGAUAAUGACGAUUGGAGGCCUGCGCUAAAGGGUGUUUGGGUUGUUCUACAUUACGGUUCAAAGCACAAGUCGCUCGGUUCAAGGCAGUGUUAAUCUUCUUUAUGGUAAAUCUUAUACUUAAUAUAUUUUAGAACUUCAAUUCAAAUAUUGUGGGUCUAUGAGUGAUUCUCUGGACUGUAACCUCCAAUCAUGUAGUUGCUAAUUGGGUCUGAUAUAACUUUUGUUAACUUUGUGCUCUUCAAACUUGAAGCAGCUAUCUGGGUUGAUUACCUUACCCCUUAAGAACAGAUGCAUUUUGUCUUACGUUUUCUUGGAAGUCACCUUCUUGGUGGAAUAGAGAUGUAGAUAGAUAGCAAGUAAAUGGCUAAUUAGGUGCUAAGAUAAUGGAAUUUUAUCUCUGUUUCAAUAGAAGGGUACUGAAAGGUAGGUCAUACGUUAGAACUGAAAAUACUUGGAGAGUGGGAUGCUGAUCUCUAUUAACAACUGAAACUUAGCAAUUGAGUCUUAGAGACUCCUUAAUUAUUGCCACCUUUAUCAAUUUUGUUCAUACUAAUUGAGUUCCACAUGUUCAUGGAGUUUCAAAAAUGUUGGAUAAAUGGUUUUUUGAUAUAUGUAUGUAGUUGAGCAUCAUGUGAUGCUGUAAGUGUUUGUUCCACAACAAGAAAAGCUGCAAGGUCUGCAAGUUAGUAGCAUCCUAGUUCCCUUUAGGUUCUGCUUGAUAGAUUGCUUUGGGUCACUGUGCUGUUAUAUUGGCAUAUUGAUUUAUUGUUUUAAAAAGCUUUCUCCUGUUUGAUAUAAUUCUUUGGUCUUGUAUUUUAAACUUUUAAGUUCUAGUUUCGGAAGAUAGAAAAUAUAUGGUUCCUUUGUUUAGGUGAAACAUAUUGCUCCACAAGGUUCUAGAGUCUGACAAGAAAGGGAAACUUGAAUCAGAAUUUUACAUUUAUGAGAUGUUGGAACAGAGAUUUUUAACGUAGGAAUGCUACCCCUUUCUAGACUCUCUAGUUUAUGUCUGGUGUUGUAAGACUCUAGUUUUGGCUUACUCUUUCUUUUCUUCUUGUUUAAAUAACAUUUUUCAUAUCCUGUAAUUAUUUUGAUUUCAUAAGCCUUUUUUUUUUUUUCCUUUCUGAGGACCUCGUGUCUUAUGCUUUUUUCUUGCAUGGAUCUGAUAUUUUCUUUGUUCUUGCUUAUCUAGUGUUCGUACACACAGAUGCAUGAAAUUACUUUUGGAGUUUUUCUGACCUGUUGUAUUUGUGAAUCGCAGCACUCAUUCGCAUAAUAAUGCGUGGCUGUGGAAAUGGCUUCAUGUGUGUUGGGGGUUUGAGCGAUUCUAAGCGUGCCUGGUUCAAACUAUUUGGGCUGGCUCUAUUAGCCUAGUGUCACGGCCCGCAUGUUCAAGGCCCAACCCGUUGGAUUGAUCAUGCUAGACCUCUUAGCCCACAUGUCCAGAUUCGUUGUACAGUAGUAGGUGGACUACGGUUGGUGACAGUGGUUGGUAGAUGCCGGUAGGUGACAUUGUAUCUUAGUCACCUACCAUGAUGGUAGGUGGGAUAGGGAAUGUAUAUAAGGAGGAUGUCACAUUGUGAAUCCUCACAUCACAACUUGUAAAGCAUUGAGUAGCAAUACAAGCAUAUAUUCUCCCAAACUUUCUUAAGCGUUCUUAUUGUGUUCUUGCUCUUGCGAUUGUUCUUUGCUUGGUUCGAUCUUGUGUCGUAGGAAGGAGGCUGACUUAGCUUGUUCAAGAGGCGAUCAAGUCUAAGGCCGCACGUAAGGAAGACUCCGAAAAAGUCAUCCCGUGACACUAAGCAUUGGAGCAGAUCAAGUUAAAUUUUCAGCAGCCAAGAACCAUUCUACCGUGCAAGUCAUAGGGCAUAGCAGAUGUGCUAAUAAUUUAUUGUUGUAUCCUUACCAAAAACAUUAGAGAGAAGUGAGAUAUAUGAGAUCAUGCUAUUGUUUUGUUUUCAAGUGUGCGAUAUUUCCAUUAAAAAAAUUACACUAGGAAAUAACUUGAGAGAAACUUGUAACAAUAUUUGGAUUUAAAUGACAUUCCCA
rnacentral:lncRNA from 1 species